CCUUACGGCUCAGUAACACGUGGAUAACCUGCCCUUGGGUCCGGCAUAACCCCGGGAAACUGGGGAUAAUUCCGGAUAACGCACAUAUGCUGGAAUGCUUUAUGCGUAAAAUGGAUUCGUCUGCCCAAGGAUGGGUCUGCGGCCUAUCAGGUAGUAGUGGGUGUAAUGUACCUACUAGCCAACAACGGGUACGGGUUGUGAGAGCAAGAGCCCGGAGAUGGAUUCUGAGACAUGAAUCCAGGCCCUAUGGGGCGCAGCAGGCGCGAAAACUUUACAAUGCGGGAAACCGUGAUAAGGGGACACCGAGUGCCAGCGUCAUACGCUGGCUGUCCAGGUGUGUAAAAUACACCUGUUAGCAAGGGCCGGGCAAGACCGGUGCCAGCCGCCGCGGUAACACCGGCGGCCCGAGUGGUGAUCGUGAUUAUUGGGUCUAAAGGGUCCGUAGCCGGUUUGGUCAGUCCUCCGGGAAAUCUGAUAGCUCAACUAUUAGGCUUUCGGGGGAUACUGCCAGACUUGGAACCGGGAGAGGUAAGAGGUACUACAGGGGUAGGAGUGAAAUCUUGUAAUCCCUGUGGGACCACCUGUGGCGAAGGCGUCUUACCAGAACGGGUUCGACGGUGAGGGACGAAAGCUGGGGGCACGAACCGGAUUAGAUACCCGGGUAGUCCCAGCCGUAAACGAUGCUCGCUAGGUGUCAGGCAUGGCGCGACCGUGUCUGGUGCCGCAGGGAAGCCGUGAAGCGAGCCACCUGGGAAGUACGGCCGCAAGGCUGAAACUUAAAGGAAUUGGCGGGGGAGCAC
rnacentral:rRNA from 1 species